rnacentral:rRNA from 1 species
AAGCUCGUAGUUGAAUUUCGGGGUUAGUAGGUUGGUCAUGCCUCUGGUAUGUACUGGUCUCACUGAUUCCUCCUUCCUUAUGAACCGUAAUGCCAUUAAUUUGGUGUUGCGGGGAAUUUGGACUGUUACUUUGAAAAAAUUAGAGUGUUUAAAGCAAGCUAACGCUUGAAUACAUUAGCAUGGAAUAAUGAAAUAGGACGUUCGAUCUUAUUUUGUUUGGUUUCUAGGAUUGACGUAAUGAUUAAUAGGGAUAGUUGGG